UACGGGGGGAGCAAGCGUUGUUCGGAUUUACUGGGCGUAAAGGGCGCGUAGGCGGCCACCGCAAGUCGACUGUGAAAUCUCCGAGCUUAACUCGGAACGGUCAACUGAUACUGUGCGGCUAGAGUGCGGAAGGGGCAACUGGAAUUCUUGGUGUAGCGGUGAAAUGCGUAGAUAUCAAGAGGAACACCUGCGGCGAAGGCGGGUUGCUGGGCCGACACUGACGCUGAGGCGCGAAAGCCAGGGGAGCGAACGGG
rnacentral:rRNA from 1 species